rnacentral:rRNA from 1 species
UAAAACCCCCGACUUCGGAAGGGGUGUAUUUAUUAGAUACAAAACCAAUGCCCUUCGGGGCUCUUUGGUGAUUCAUGAUAACUAUACGAAUCGCACGGCCUUGCGCCGGCGAUGGUUCAUUCAAAUUUCUUCCCUAUCAACUUUCGAUGUUUGGGUAUUGGCCAAACAUGGUUGCAACGGGUAACGGAGGGUUAGGGCUCGACCCCGGAGAAGGAGCCUGAGAAACGGCUACUACAUCCAAGGAAGGCAGCAGGCGCGCAAAUUACCCAAUCCCGACUCGGGGAGGUAGUGACAAUAAAUACUGAUACAGGGCCCUUUCGGGCCUUGUAAUUGGAAUGAGUACAAUUUAAAUCCCUUAACGAGGAACAAUUGGAGGGCAAGUCUGGUGCCAGCAGCCGCGGUAAUUCCAGCUCCAAUAGCGUAUAUUAAAGUUGUUGUGGUUAAAAAGCUCGUAGUUGAACCUUGGGCCUGGCUGGCCGGUCCGCCUCACCGCGUGCACUGGUCCGGCCGGGCCUUUCCCUCUGUGGAACCCCAUACCCUUCACUGGGCGUGGCGGGGAAACAGGACAUUUACUUU